AUCUGUCACACACAUGCGCUCGCAAACACACACACACGCACACACACGUGUGUGUGUGUUUGCGAGCGCAUGUGUGUGACAGAUGAAUGUUAAU
rnacentral:pre_miRNA from 1 species